rnacentral:rRNA from 1 species
GCGCUCGUAGCAAUACGGGAGCGGCAGACGGGAGAGUAACACGUGGGAACGUACCCUUCGGUUCGGAAUAACCCAGGGAAACUUGGGCUAAUACCGGAUACGUCCGUAAGGAGAAAGAUUUAUUGCCGAAGGAUCGGCCCGCGCCCGAUUAGCUAGUUGGUGAGGUAACGGCUCACCAAGGCGACGAUCGGUAGCUGGUCUGAGAGGAUGAUCAGCCUCACUGGGACUGAGACACGGCCCAGACUCCUACGGGAGGCAGCAGUGGGGAAUAUUGGACAAUGGGCGCAAGCCUGAUCCAGCCAUGCCGCGUGGGUGAUGAAGGCCUUAGGGUUGUAAAGCCCUUUCGGCGGGGAAGAUAAUGACGGUACCCGCAGAAGAAGCCCCGGCUAACUUCGUGCCAGCAGCCGCGGUAAUACGAAGGGGGCUAGCGUUGCUCGGAAUCACUGGGCGUAAAGCGCACGUAGGCGGGUUCUUAAGUCAGAGGUGAAAUCCUGGAGCUCAACUCCAGAACUGCCUUUGAUACUGAGGAUCUCGAGUUCGGGAGAGGUGAGUGGAACUGC